rnacentral:rRNA from 1 species
GACGAACGCUGGCGGCGUGCUUAACACAUGCCAGUCGAACGGAAAGGCCCUGCUUUUGUGGGGUGCUCGAGUGGCGAACGGGUGAGUAACACGUGAGUAACCUGCCCUUGACUUUGGGAUAACUUCAGGAAACUGGGGCUAAUACCGGAUAGGAGCUCCUGCUGCAUGGUGGGGGUUGGAAAGUUUCGGCGGUUGGGGAUGGACUCGCGGCUUAUCAGCUUGUUGGUGGGGUAGUGGCUUACCAAGGCUUUGACGGGUAGCCGGCCUGAGAGGGUGACCGGCCACCUUGGGCCUGAGAGACGGCCCAGACUCCUACGGGAGGCAGCAGUGGGGAAUAUUGCACAAUGGGCGGAAGCCUGAGGCAGCAACGCCGCGUGCGGGAUGACGGCCUUCGGGUUGUAAACCGCUUUCGCCUGUGACGAAGCGUGAGUGACGGUAAUGGGUAAAGAAGCACCGGCUAACUACGUG